rnacentral:rRNA from 1 species
AUUGAACGCUGGCGGCAGGCCUAACACAUGCAAGUCGAACGGUAGCACAGAGAGCUUGCUCUCGGGUGACGAGUGGCGGACGGGUGAGUAACGUCUGGGAAACUGCCCGAUGGAGGGGGAUAACUACUGGAAACGGUAGCUAAUACCGCAUAACGUCACAAGACCAAAGUGGGGGACCUUCGGGCCUCACACCAUCGGAUGUGCCCAGAUGGGAUUAGCUAGUAGGUGGGGUAACGGCUCACCUAGGCGACGAUCCCUAGCUGGUCUGAGAGGAUGACCAGCCACACUGGAACUGAGACACGGUCCAGACUCCUACGGGGGCAGCAGUGGGGAAUAUUGCACAAUGGGCGCAAGCCUGAUGCAGCCAUGCCGCGUGUAUGAAGAAGGCCUUCGGGUUGUAAAGUACUUUCAGCGGGGAGGAAGGCGGUGAAGUUAAUAACUUCACCGAUUGACGUUACCCGCAGAAGAAGCACCGGCUAACUCCGUGCCAGCCGCCGCGGUAA